CUUAUGGUAAGUGUAUUACCUCCCCCCCUCCCGGGUGUACCGACUGUGGGGGGCAGACUGUUACACUUUGUAGAGUCCUGGCAACAGCUGACUGCGGACGUAUGGGUCCUCAACACCAUCAGGGGUUACCACAUAGAGUUUGUGCGGACCCCGGUCCAAACACACAGACCACACCGCAUAGUUUUCUCCACGCAAGACAAGGGCUUGGUGAGCGAGGAGAUUCGCACCCUCCAAGCGAAGGGCGCCAUAUACCAGGUCCCUUCACCAUCCCCUGGGUUCAUGAGCAAUCUGUUUCUGGUACCCAAGAAGGGCGGCGGAGUGCGCCCAGUCAUCAACUUGCGGCCACUAAACGCAUUUGUGCGGUACCACCAUUUCAAAAUGGAGGGUAUCCACUGCCUGCGAGACCUGCUCAGGUUAGGGGACUGGAUGGUGAAGCUGGACCUCCAAG